rnacentral:rRNA from 1 species
GCGCAGCAGGCGAGAAUCCUCCGCAAUGCGGGAAACCGUGACGGGGUCACCCCGAGUGCCACCCGAUGAGGGUGGCUUUUCCCCGGUCUAAAAAGCCGGGGGCAAUAAGCGGGGGGCAAGUCUGGUGUCAGCCGCCGCGGUAAUACCAGCCCCGCGAGUGGUCGGGACGUUUAUUGGGCCUAAAGCGUCCGUAGCCGGCUCGGUAAGUCCCUCCUUAAAUCCACGGGCUCAACCCGUGGGCUGGGAGGGAUACUGCCGGGCUAGGGGGCGGGAGAGGCCGAGGGUACUCCCGGGGUAGGGGCGAAAUCCGUUAAUCCCGGGAGGACCACCAGUGGCGAAGGCGCUCGGCUGGAACGCGCCCGACGGUGAGGGACGAAAGCUGGGGGAGCAAAGGGGAUUAGAUACCCCUGUAGU